CUCUCUCUCUCUCUCUCUCCAACCUGGUCUUACUUCUUCACACCCAACCAGGGCCGUCGUUUCUCGAAUAUCUCGCCGGAGAGAGAGAGAAAAACGAAGGGGUGGGAGACGGAGACGGAGACAGAGAGACUUUGAAGAUCAUGGCCCAGCCUUCCAACGGUGCUGAUCUCAAUCCCCAGGCCCCUCACCCUCACCACCAAUGGUUUCAACAACAACAACAGUAUCAGCAGCAAUGGAUGGCG
rnacentral:misc_RNA from 1 species